UACGUAGGGUGCAAGCGUUUAAUCGGAAUUACUGGGCGUAAAGCGUGCGCAGGCGGUGAUGUAAGACAGGUGUGAAAUCCCCGGGCUUAACCUGGGAACUGCAUUUGUGACUGCAUCGCUGGAGUGCGGCAGAGGGGGAUGGAAUUCCGCGUGUAGCAGUGAAAUUCGUAGAUAUCGGGAGGAACACCAGUGGCGAAGGCGGCGAUCUGGGAAGAUACUGACGCUGAGGUGCGAAAGCGUGGGGAGCAAACAGG
rnacentral:rRNA from 1 species